GACGAACGCUGGCGGCGUGCCUAACACAUGCAAGUCGAGCGGAGGCGGAGGAUAGCCCAGCGAUGGGAAGGAAUCGGCUUUAGCGGCGAACGGGUGAGUAACACGUGGGCAAUCUGCCCUCUGGAGCGGGAUAACAGACCGAAAGGCCUGCUAAUACCGCAUGAGGCCGGACCUUCGCAUGGAGGAGCGGUCAACGGGGAAACCCGCCGGAGGAGGAGCCCGCGUCCCAUUAGCUAGUUGGCGGUGUAACGGACCACCAAGGCGAUGAUGGGUAGCCGGCCUGGGAGGGUGAACGGCCACAUUGGGACUGAGACACGGCCCAGACUCCUACGGGGGGCAGCAGUGAGGGAUUUUCGGCAAUGGGCGAAAGCCUGACCGAGCGACGCCGCGUGAGCGAAGAAGGCCUUCGGGUCGUAAAGCUCUGUCUAGGGGGAAGAGAACGGACGGUACCCCUGGAGGAAGCCACGGCUAACUACGUGCCAGCCGCCGCGGUAAAAC
rnacentral:rRNA from 1 species